rnacentral:rRNA from 1 species
UACAGGGGGUGCAAACGUUGCUCGGAAUUAUUGGGCGUAAAGCGCGCGUAGGCGGCCGCUUAAGUCGGAUGUGAAAGCCCCUGGCUCAACUGGGGAAGUGCACCCGAAACUGAGUGGCUUGAGUACUAAAGAGGGUCGCGGAAUUCCCGGUGUAGAGGUGAAAUUCGUAGAUAUCGGAAGGAACACCGGUGGCGAAGGCGGCGACCUGGGUAGAUACUGACGCUGAGGCGCGAAAGCGUGGGGAGCAAACAGG